rnacentral:rRNA from 1 species
GAUGAACGCUGGCGGCGUGCCUAAUACAUGCAAGUCGAGCGAACAGAUGAGGAGCUUGCUCCUCUGACGUUAGCGGCGGACGGGUGAGUAACACGUGGAUAACCUACCUAUAAGACUGGGAUAACUUCGGGAAACCGGAGCUAAUACCGGAUAAUAUAUUGAACCGCAUGGUUCAAUAGUGAAAGACGGUUUUGCUGUCACUUAUAGAUGGAUCCGCGCCGCAUUAGCUAGUUGGUAAGGUAACGGCUUACCAAGGCAACGAUGCGUAGCCGACCUGAGAGGGUGAUCGGCCACACUGGAACUGAGACACGGUCCAGACUCCUACGGGAGGCAGCAGUAGGGAAUCUUCCGCAAUGGGCGAAAGCCUGACGGAGCAACGCCGCGUGAGUGAUGAAGGUCUUCGGAUCGUAAAACUCUGUUAUUAGGGAAGGACAAAUGUGUAAGUAACUAUGCACGUCUUGACGGUACCUAAUCAGAAAGCCACAGCUAACUACGUG